AUGAAUGUUCAUCGUGGUGUGACGGCGACAGGUUGUUGCGUCCAGAGGCCAGCGUCCAGAUGCAGCUCAGGAAAAAGAAACAAAUAGCCUGGCUUCACCUGGUCUUCACAAUCUUACUUAUCCCCUAGGUCCCAGGAAUGAAGACCUUUCACUUGAUUAUGCCUCUCAGCCAGCAAAUCUUCCUUUUCCUCACAUACUGCCGCUUCCCGAAGACAUUAAAGGCUCUUGCUUCCAAAGUGGCAAUAAACGGAACCAUGAACCCUUUAUUGCUCCAGAAAGAUUUGGAAACAGCAGUAUGGGCUUUGGCAGUAACCCUUAUUCCCAGGCACCAGGAGAAAGUGACCCUUCUUGUAGAUGGCACACGUUUUGUUGUGAAUCCACAAAUUUUCACUGCUCAUCCGGAUACCAUGUUGGGAAGGAUGUUUGGACCAGGAAGAGAGUACAACUUCACUCGGCCCAAUGAGAAGGGAGAGUAUGAGAUUGCUGAAGGAAUCAGUGCAACUGUAUUUCACGCAGUACUGGAUUUUUAUAAAACUGGUAUCAUCAAUUGUCCUGAUGGCAUCUCUAUUCCAGACCUUAGAGAUACAUGCGAUUAUCUCUGUAUUAACUUUGAUUUCAACACUAUUCGAUGUCAAGAUCUGAGUGCUUUGCUGCAUGAACUGUCUAAUGAUGGUGCUCACAAGCAGUUUGAUCACUACCUCGAAGAAUUGAUUCUGCCCAUCAUGGUGGGCUGUGCCAAGAAAGGGGAGCGGGAGUGCCACAUUGUUGUGCUGACUGAUGAAGAUUCUGUGGACUGGGAUGAGGACCACCCCCCACCCAUGGGGGAAGAAUAUUCCCAAAUUCUUUAUAGCUCCAAGCUCUACAGAUUCUUCAAAUAUAUUGAGAAUCGAGAUGUUGCUAAGACAGUGUUGAAGGAACGGGGCCUGAAAAACAUUCACAUUGGGAUUGAAGGGUACCCUACCUGUAAAGAAAAAAUUAAGAGAAGACCUGGUGGUCGGUCUGAAGUUAUCUGUAAUUAUGUGCAGCGCCCCUUUAUACAGAUGUCCUGGGAAAAGGAAGAAGGAAAGAGUCAUGUGGAUUUCCAGUGUGUUCGAAGCAAAUCUCUCACUAAUCUGGUAGCUGCUGGGGAGGAUGUCUUGGAGGACCAGGAGAUAUUAAUGCACCACCCACCCCAAGUGGAUGAACUUGACGGGCUAAAUGCCCCACUUUCUCAGAUGGCUUCUAAUGACUUUCAAGAUUAG